UGCUUAACUUGGUCCACAAGAGUCGAGGUUAUUGAUAUUUUAUUCCUCUGAACAAUUUUCUAGGUCAAUAGCCAUGUAUUUAUCCAUUAUGCUAGCUAUAUUCAGUCAGCGGGGAGGCUGGCCUACUUUGACAUCGUUUUCUUUGGCGUCGCUUUGGUGUCUUGGCUUGGAGGUGUAUCGGCAGCUGGCGAUUUUUUCUGUUGGCCCGCGCCGUCGAUGCUCCUGCCGUUCUGUGGCUUUUGGUCUAUCCAUGGGGAUUGCAAAAGCUAGCAGCAGUGAGCUGCUUCCUUGGGGAAUUUCCUUAUGCUUUAUUGAUGAUGACUCAGUGGAAAGGUUGUCUGAUCUUGCAUUAAUUGCUACUACAAGAUAGCAGAUAGACAUGGAUACUGAUCUCUGGAGAUUCAUCAGACCCUUAAACCACAUAGAGUAUUUAAAAAGAUGAAGUUCGUGGUUUCCAAAGGGUGGAGGGAGAGACAUAUAUCUCAUUCCAUUUGGUCUGCAGACUCAGAGUUUGCCUACUAGGCCAUGCUGAUACAACUACAUUCUCAAGGGUAUGAUACAAGCCAAGGUAGGUCAUUUUGAGCAGUCAUGUUCAGGUAUCAUCUGUUUUUCUCGAUCUAUAAAUUAGGUUGACAUCUCCUUGGAUGGUCUAUUGUCAUAGCGGUAUUUAAAUCCUGUGAUCCCUUUUCAAAUAGUUUUGCGCAGUCUACGCCUUCAAUAAAUUUCAUGAAAUACCUUUCCAAAUAAUUGUAUGCAGUUAGUCUCGAAAUAGAGAAACAGAACACAACCAAAAUAAGAGAAACGGUGAAACCUCAUAUCUUGUUUUUUUAGAUCUGUUAUACUGUUUUCUGAGCGAAGUGUGUCCACCAUAAAAUGGAUUACACUAUUAGCAUAACUGAUCAGGAAUCCAUAUCUUUUUAGUGCCAUAAAAUGAAUUGCUCUGUUAACUGAGUAAAUCAGGUCUACUUUUUGGCUGACUGCAUCCCUUGCCGGUUGAUCACAUUUACUCAUUCCAUGUAGUCCUUUUCUGAUUCACCUUUACUACAGCUAGGAAAACCAAUAUUCAUGUGUACCUAAGCUUACAUUCGUCUCGAACAAUGGGAUUGCACAUUUGGUACAUAACUUCUAAUAAGAGUAUUGACUACUGUGAGGUUUUUCCUUUUAACAAAAAAGGCAUCUAUAAAAAGAUCAGUUAUUGCUUAAAAUCUGAAGUGGUGUGCAUAUACUACAAAAUUCUGUGCGUCUAUGAGGACUUCUCAUUUUGCAACUGGCUCUUAAUCUAAGAAGCAUAUUUGUUUGGGAACUUUCCUCAUCUCAGUUUGAGUAAUCAACUUCAUCACUUAGGUUGGAACCUCGAAGACAGUUCAUGUUCAUUUCUACAGAAAAUGUCCCCAUGGCAGCCUGGGUACUGAUGAGCUAAGCUGAGAUGCGGAAGACAAUCUUGGAACUAGAGCCAGGAGGUGUUCAAAAGGAGCCAACAUAUAUAUGAAAGAUGUGUAGCUGUUUCGGCUUCCUCCUUCCAUGCUCAAAAGUGUUCUCAUGCGAUAUUAACCUGUGAUGACCCAAUAGAAAAUUUGCAUCGCCAUUAGGUUGAUUUUAACAUGUAACAGAGCAUACAGGUUUAUUUCAGUGAAA